UCUCCCAGGAUGCACUUGGAAAGUACCUGCCUGGAAGUUAGUGCAGUUAGAGUGUCCAGGAGACUGCUCUCCCGUUCAUUGUAGAAUUCUAGUAAGGAGAGGGAGCUGCGUCCCGGGACGUGACACUGACAGCGGCUGAGCGGAAUUAUUUGAUGUCUUCAAACAAAAUUUUGCGCUCUCCAUUAUUUUGUGCUUCUAUUGUGGUUAUUCUUGCUAAACGCUGAGGACCAGUUCAACACACAGCCCUUUCUUCACAGUCCAUAAUAAGCUGCUUUAAAUGUGAGUCCCCAAGCUUUAUCUGGUCAGUUCGUUCCAGGCAUAUAGGAGUUAAUGUUCUGGAAGGCUGGGACCAAAGAGGGAGCUUGGAGACCAACAGAAAGUGAUCCAGCCCUCUCUGCAGAGACCUAACACAGAGCACUGCACAGAGUAAACCUCAAACCUGCUGCCUGCAGUAGCUUAGCUGAAGAGAGGCCUGGAUAUCUGUUUUGCCUACCGGAGCUCGGAUUCCUCAGCUCUCCGGUGCAUGGCAGC